AUCCUUGAAGGAACCCCCUUCUAAAGGUAAGAGACCUGAUCUCUUUUACGGUUGAGAUAUAAUCUCAAUCUUCAAAUCACAAGAAAUUGUGAUUUAUGCAUAUUUAUUCGAAUCACACAAUCCUCGAGAUCUGAGGGCUUUGUGAUAUUUGGUGUCAAAGCAAAGGAUUAGUGGAGACUAUCCAAUUCCCGGAAACUCUCACGCGUGAUCGUGUGACGAAGCGUGGCUCUCCACCCGGGGGCUCAUAUGAUGAGUGCUUUGAUAGGCACGUGCGGGUGUCACCCUAUGUAUUGGGACUGAGCCCGUACCACAUGUGAUGUGCAGUUGAAGAUUGUCUUCGACUGGUACCAGAGUUAAAAUAUCUAAAAUAUCAAGCAUGUUAUGGGUUAAAAUGUUUAACCCAUUCUUUCCGCAUAAAAAUUUCUGAAAUUCAUGCUUAGCCCUCUGCAUGCUUACUAUCAGUGGUAUCAAAGCUCGUCCAGGUUCUUUGUGAUAUCAAAUAUCUAUGCAAAAUGUGAUCUUUUACAUAUGAUGUAAACUGAUUAUAUUAUUUUAUGAUGCUAUUCAUAUGAUGAAUAGACAUGUUUGUAUGCAUGUGGAAACCAUUUAACUUGAACAUUAGAAGGGGUUUUAAUGAUUCAAAGUUGUAAUGCAUGCAAAACCAAGAUAAGACAUGAAUAAUGCAAUACACUUAAUUGUGAAUUAAGUAUUGAUGUAGAUCUUAGAUUUUAAAUGUGAUUUAAACAUUUAAGACAUUGCAUAAAUAAUGGGGAUAAUGGGUUAUCUAAUCAAAUCUGGUUGGGUUAGACCCAAUGGUCAAAAUCAAAAUAUGGAACAAUAAGUGGUCAAAUCUAAUUUAAAAUGUUUACUUUGGAUUCGAUCAAGGUAACUCUAUGUAGAUCUUAGAUUUUAAAUGUGAUUUAAACAUUUAAGACAUUGCAUAAAUAAUGGGGAUAAUGGGUUAUCUAAUCAAAUCUGGUUGGGUUAGACCCAAUGGUCAAAAUCAAAAUAUGGAACAAUAAGUGGUCAAAUCUAAUUUAAAAUGUUUACUUUGGAUUCGAUCAAGGUAACUCUUGAUCUUUGCAAUAGUUGUAGUUGAUCAAGUCCAUGUCUCUUGAUAAGACCAAAUGGAUGUUGAUUUGGGCUCCGCAGUUGAGCACUGAGUUAUGAUAUUGAUCGAAUUGAAAUUGAUGAACCAGUUGGUGUCUAAGGCAACUGUUAUCAGCAGGUUUUUAAUUGGGAGCUACUUGCUGGGUUUCGGUCCAGUCAAGUUAAUGGCAUACCCUUCCACUGAUCUCACUUACCUGGCCAUCUUGGUGAAUCUCUUUUGAUCAGAUCUCUGAUUGACUCUAAUUGACCCAUGCCUGUAAGGAAAUCGGUCGGACCGAUUUAGGUGCACUGACUCAAACCUGUUCUUAUUAACCUCUGAUUUGAAGAAGUCAGUGGGAGGAUCAAGGUUAGUCAGUUUUUCGUGUUUCAUACAAAUCCUCUAAAUUAUCAGGUUCUUAAAAAUGGUGCGGUUAAUGGAAGAUGAUCGUGUCAUAGCCUCCCAUUGCGUUGAAAUGAUAAUGAGUCCAAUAUGUUUAUGAUCAUUGGAGGCGAUACACGCCUGGUGCUCAUCGGCUAUUGGGAUUGUCACUCAAUUAAUGUUGAAUCGGUUGCAUCCAUUGAAUAGGUGGUCAGGUGAGCCGAGACACACUCGGGCUUGGUCAUCUAUUAAUGUGAUAAACUUAUUGCAGCAAGUUGAUGGUUGGACCUGACCAGGUUUUUCAGUGGAGGUGACACACACCUGCUGAAGUGGCCUGUGGCAAAAGGAUAAUACUGGGAGUUGUUUGGUGAAGCAAUUGGUUAUGAACCUACCCUUAGAAACAGAUGGGUUAGCCGAGACACACUCGGGCCCAUCUGUAGUCUAUGUGGAUUCCAGUACCCACUAAAGAAUUAGGAGUAAUUCUUCGGAUUAAAGUAGAGGCUAUUGUUUUGUACAAAAUGGUGGGAGGACCUUUGGACUAAAAUCCAAAUUUCUUGAUUAUAUUGAUUCAUUUACUGAUUAGGCUUUGUUGUCAUUCUUUGCAGAAAUGGCCACUCAAUUGUCACUUAGGUCAUUGUUAGAUAAUGAUAAGUUGACCGGUCCCAACUUUUCAAUCUGGCUUAGAAAGCUUAAGAUCGUCCUAGAACACGAGAGGACCAUGUAUAUAAUUACUGAUCCGGCACCUGAAUUGCCUCCUGCUAAUGCACGGGUAGCAGUCCGUGACGCUUACCAGAAAUGGACGAGUGAUCGGAUCACUGUCCGGUGCAUUAUGCUAGCGGCAAUGAGCGACGAAUUCUCGCGGAGAUUCGAGAGUGCUCAGCCGAACGAGAUCAUUCAAGUGUUGAAUGAAUCGUUUGGUGUCCCUGAUGAUGAUAAAAGGUAUAGUACUAGUUGCUGUAUCUUCAACGCCAAACUCAGGGAAGGGGCCUCUGUUACGGACCAUGUACUUUACAUGAUCGAGUUGAUAGAGCGCCUGAGCAAACUCGGCUUUUCCCUGCAUGAACAAUUGGGAAAGGACGCGAUUUUGAAUUCCCUGCCUGAUUCCUACCGACCAUUCCUCACUCAUUAUAGAAUGACAAAGCCUGUACUCAACUUCCAUGGUCUUUUGGGGUUGUUGCAGAACUUUGAGAAAGAUAACCAGCUCAGGAAAGGGCCGGUUAAUGUGGUUGGUGGUGGGGCAGGACGCCGUCCCUUUGGGAAAGGGAAAAACAAAAAUAAAAUUAAAAAUAAAAAUAAAAGGAAGAGAAAGGUGCUAAGUGUCGGGACAUCUUGUCAGAUGAUAAGAAAGCGGGCUGACCCUAGAAAGGCGGUGUGCUACCACUGUCAGAAACUGGGACACUGGAAAAGGAACUGUCCUCUGUAAGUAGCCACCCUUGAUCCAAACAGGCCUAGGAGAAAUGAGCAAACAGUUGCUGGGCAAGGGACUGCAUGUCAAUAAGAGAUUUGAGGAUAAUGAGAGGUUCCUGAAUGUUGGAGAUGGAAGGACUGUUCCAGUUCUAGCAUUGGGAGAUCUUAAGUUAGUUUUCAAUUCUCAUGUAAUCGCCUUAAGUGACUGUCACUUUUGUCCGUCGUUCUUAAUGAACGUCAUUUCUGUAGGGCUUUUAGCCCAAAACGGUUAUGAAAUAUCAAUAAAGAAUCGUUCUUGUAAUAUC